rnacentral:lncRNA from 1 species
AUUUUUAAGUAACUAUACAAGCAUAGAAAUGUUUGCCUGCUUGAAAACUUCAUGAUGUUCAGUUAAGUGCCCUUAAUUGUGGUACUGGCCACGUCCACAAAUCGUUUUUUUUUUUUUUUUUUUUUUGAGGCUGAAACUAAUACCGCCACCUACUCUGAUAUUUAAACAACACCAAAAGAGGAGUUAUAAGGGUUGCAAAAGAUAAAAGUAACAUAGGAAAUAACUCAAAGAGAGCAAAUCAGGAAUCUACCUUCCAUAUAGGGAAACUGGAAAUGGAAUGUGAUGAAGAAAGUAUGCCACCAAGAAGAAAAAUAAGCAAAUUAGGAAGGAAGCAAGAGCAGCUUCAGAUAAAAAGAGAAAAUCCACUUAGUCUGAGACUUCAUGAGUCAUUUCAGUUAUUCGCGCUUACUUGCUUAACGAUGGGGGAAAAGGUAGGUUAAAAUGGGCUUCCACUAACCACUAGUGACCAAGAGGGAGAGGUUUCACAAUCCUUGACCUGAUUCCUUCAAGUUGUUCUGGGAAGUCCCCUGAGGAAGAGCAAAGCCUGGCACAGGGACGGUCCUAAAGUCAUGUUGAACAGGCACCGGCCUCCCACGACGCUCUUUCACACUUCCAAGAAGCUUCGUGUAGCAAAGAACCGCAGUUUACUUUUUGUGUAUUCAAUUAAACGCAGCAUCAUGCUUGAGUAGCUUUGUGGGGGUGUGAAGAGUCACACAGAGCAAAAUCUAGUUUGGGCCCCAGCUCAUUACUUUAUAUGUUACACAGGGGUUUCCAUAAGGCUGGAGGAUCCUGUCAUAGCCACGCCCCCCUUGGGAAAAAAAAAAAACUAAACGCUAAAACUUGGAGUUAGCAAGCCAGCUAUCUUAUAAGAAUAAUUAGAUAUUAAUUCUUUCUUUAAAAAUGUGUGUUCUAUGUCAAAGCAGAGUUGCAUUAUAAAUAGAGACUGCUCCUAAUUCAGAGU